UGGCCUAACUGGGGGCACGGGCACAUAACAUAACCUAAUCCUAAUAUUUACAUUUGUAAAGAAUAUCCUGUUUGUUUUUAUUUUUUAUUGUCGAUUGUGCAGCGAAAUUGUGAUAGCAAAUCAAAUAUAAAGUAGUUUAUCGCCUACAGAACUGAAUUAGUCCAUAGCAGUUAUCAGUUUGCAAGUAGCAAGGGCUUUCUUGAGAAGCUUAUACAUGUAACUUGUAUUGUUGUAAAUUGUGGGAGUAGGGCAGACAGGGAAAAGUCUUAUUCUGUACUGUUCCCAAGGCUCCCCAUCCAAUACAUUUAAAUGAAUUAUCCAAACAAAGCCGGGGACAAUGGAUAAAAGCCACAAGAAGAACAGAUAUAAGGGAACUAAAAUUAAAAUAUGAAAAGUAAACAUUUUAUAAGUGGAACAACCACCAGAUAUUUAAAAGGUAUAAAAAGAAGAAACUGCUGGAACUUCAAAACAAAUGUGUUUGACUAGUAAAGAUUUGGAUAAAUAACAGGAGUUACUUUGGGCUAUAGCUACGUGUAGAUUUAUUUCCUUGUGGCUUCCUAUGUUAAUUCUUAUUAAUUAUACACUUAAAUAUGUUUUUAGUCUCAGGAAGAUUUUAUAUUUGAUUAUUUUUGAAUAAACAUUAUUAUUAUUAUUACCUUAAUUUCCAUUAAAUAAAUUAACUGUAAUCAAUAAAGUAAUCGUUUAAUUGUUAAUAAAUUAUCAAGUAUGA